rnacentral:rRNA from 1 species
UAACCUGCCUGGUAGCGGGGGGUAACUAUUGGAAACGAUAGCUAAUACCGCAUAACAGUCGACAUUGCAUGAUGUUGAUUUGAGAGGGGCAAUUGCUCCACUACCAGAUGGACCUGCGUUGUAUUAGCUAGUUGGUGAGGUAACGGCUCACCAAGGCGACGAUACAUAGCCGACCUGAGAGGGUGAUCGGCCACACUGGGACUGAGACACGGCCCAG